CACCCCUGGCAAUGGGCGAAGAGACACCUUGUUGGUAAUGUUCUUAUAUCAGUCAGGGGCAGAGCAGAUGACAGUCCUUUGUUAAUCUUAGCUUGAUGCCUGGGAUGGUGGCCAAAACUGUUUUAUGCCUAGGACAUAUAA